UUGUGUCCUGAUCUGGCUAUGCCAAAUGGCUGUGGGCUACACUAGCUAAUUUAGCAGACAAGAUUCGUUUCGAAAUCCGGGACAUUAUUUUAUAGUAUUAUAAUGACCUGACUAGAUCAUAAAGGAACAAUUGUCCAGACAGAGGAAUGAGUUUACGAAUUGACGGUUUAUUAAACCAACUUUACACAGGCUACUGUUUGGCCGUAAACCACGCCAAAUAAGUGAAAGAUAACAAAAAAAUAAGUAUUCCUGUAUGCUUUUUUUGUUGUUAUUAAUAUAACUUUAGUUCUACAAACGUUGGGCUAUAUGUUUUGAUGUUUAAUACAUUGUAAGGCUGAAUGAUGCGACUCUAAUGAUGAUUUGAAAAAAGUUGCAUGAAAGGUAUGAGCUCUGCUUUGGAUUUUGCGCAGGCUGUACACGCUACAUCAGUCACUUAUUCACAAUUUGACAAGCACUUAAUAAUGCCUAGAAUUUCAAGGCGGCAUCCCCUUUGUGUGGCCGUAAUGCACCCGCUGUGUAUAUUGGAAGAACUGUCCACAUUUACUUUUCGUCAGCCGACAAGAUGAGUAGGCCUAUCGAACAGCAAAAGCACUAGUUUAUGUCAAUCUACUAUCCCCAAGGUACAAAAAUCGACCUAUUCUAUUCUGUGCGAGAAAUAAAUAUUCCAAACAUUGUCUGGGACAGUUGUGGGAUGCGAUAGAUCGCAAAUUAAUACAACCACUUGUUUACACAUAUGAAUAUUACACCACUAGCAUAGAAAAAACUGUUUUACGCAAUGUGGCUGACGCAACAGAUCAGAACGUUUAGCUUAAAAUGUUGAUAAACUAUUAGGCUAUUUCUUUCCAUUAUAAGCGCAGCAAUGCGCAUACGGCAGUAGGCUAUAAGCGCGAAUGUUCCAUUAGCAGGAAAACACCAUUCUAAAGUGACCACAAAUGCGAUUAUGCAUGCAUUGCUUUUAUUAUAAAGGUGCAUUUCUAUGCUGAAAAUUACCUUCCCCAAAUUUGAAACCGACACGCUUCGAACACACGGACUGCGUCUGAAUCACUGCUGCAUAACAUUUUGCGCAGCUAGGCAACUACUGAUGCAGGUACCUUUUGCAGAUGUUCGCAUGCGGUUGGACACAUGGAGGAGAGAGUCAUUUUCGCAGUAUCCUCAAAGCUGUGUCUUUUUGACACAACUGCUGACAGCUACAGGGACAUAAACACAAAAAAUGCUGCUUGGAGACAAGUGUCCACGAUAGUAGGAUUGCCAGGUCAGUUUAGUAGUGAGCUUGUGCUAGAUGUAGCUAGUUAACGUUAGCUAGCUAGCUAACCUAGCAAAUGAGGUGUGUGUGUGAAAGAAAUAGUCAAAUAAAUAAUGCUAGUUACUACCCCUAAUAACUUUACCAAAUAAUCAUGUUUGAAAGAGUGUGAGUGUAUGCUAGAUAAAUAGUAAUAGAAAUGGUAGAUACGACUGUACCCCUGAUAAUUUGGUCAGAUAACCAUGUGUGUGUGUCUAUGUGUACAGUAGGUGACAUGUCCAUGAUAGCUAUCUAAUAACUAUAGUUAUGCUAGGUAAUGGUUUGGCUUAUCAUGUUCAUGUCUGUGUAGAAGAAGACUGUAGGGGGAAGUGGAUAGGACUCAGGGACAGGUAUCAGAGAGAGAGAAGGGCAGAGAAAGAGAAGAAGAGGUCUGGGUCAGCAGCUUCAGGCCAGCAGCCUUGGCGCUUCUGCCACAUUCUUUUUUUUCUGGAUCCAUUUAUUGUACCUAGGGCAAUGAGUGGCAAUUUUACAGCCAGACCCUCUACUACGUCAUCCACAAGUGUUGUCGCCACCAGUGCAUCAAGACCCUCAACGUCACCUACAAGUGCAGCGAGACCCUCUACAACGUCUACAUCAUCCACGAGUAUGACCACCACCUUUGCAGCCAUGGAAGAUGAUGAAAUGGAGGAAGCACCUCUGGAUCUAGGACCACCUGAGAUUAUUAUGAACCUCACGGAAGUGACCUCGUUGAACAGGAUGUGGCCGUGGAGAGAAACAGGGAGAGAAUUGAAGAGGAACAACGUCACACCAGGCGUCAUCGGAGGUACCAGCCCCCAGAUCCACUCAACUCAUUUCAGCAGAGGCUCCUCCAAGCCAUCGAGAGGAUUGCAGCCCAACCUGCUGCUCACAGGAAGGAGGAUGAAGAGACCCUCUUUGCCAUGAGCCUGGUGCCAACACUGAAGAGGCUGCCUCAACAAAGAAAAGCCGCAGUCAAGGUUAAAAUGUAUCAGCUGCUUUUCGAAGCCGAGUUCAAUGAAAUGGAGUCAAUUUAGCCGACCAGCUCACAGGAAGGACAGGAAGAGGAGAGGAAGGACAGGAAGAGGAGAGGAAGGACAGGAAGAGGAGUUGUCUGUUUGUUGUUUUGGCCUCCCUCAUUGUACCUUUCUUUUCACACACGUCAGUUGUGUUUAAAUUCAGGCAAUUCAUAAAGUCAUUUGUUUAUAAAGUCAUAGGAUAGCAUUCAUUAUUAGUGUUACAUAGAUUUCUGAAUUGACAGAAUUGAAACUCAUACGGAGUUUUCACAGAUGCUCUUGUUGGUCUCUUACGAGACUAAAGGUGAAUAUAUUUCUUUCAUUCAAAAUCACUUGAAAACCAGGGUGUUGAAACUGUUUGUGAAGUUAUGUUCCAUCGACUGGUCCAUGACGUCCAGGGGCCAUUUGUUUGUUUAGCUGUGUUAUGGCUACACAUUCCAUUCUUUCUUUUUUUCCAGAGACAGAGACACACACACACACCUCUCCUCCACUCCUCUCUGUACCUCAGAUCUCCAGUGCCCUGCCCUCUCUCUCUUUAUAGCCAUGUCUGAAGUUCCCCUACUACGUCUAGGCUUUAUGAGUUGUCCCUGUAUCGGUCUGCAGUUGUGCCAAAAAUACAUGCUCUUGUUGUUCUCUUACAGAUUACAGGCUACACAUUCAUUUUAUUUAUUUUUUACACGCACAUACACACCUCUUUCAAUAGUUCUAUUUUUUUAAACAUUUUUACAACACACAUACCUGUCAUGUUCUUUCCUGUACUUGAAUACUUAUUAAAUUAUGUUUUCAUAGUCAGUUGUUUAUUAAUAUCUCAUUUAGACUUAAUCUGCUUAUUUCUUGAUGAAAGUAAAAACACACAUUAUUUUCCUAAUUUGUUUUUUUUCCACCUGUAUUUUGUUAGGCCAGUGAACAUGGUGGUAAACUGUACUGUUUGUAUGGACCCUAGGUUACCCUUUCCCUUUGUUAUCAUACUAACUGGAUGUCGUAUAACCUUAAUUAGUGCUCCUGCUCACCUGAUGUACCAUGCCAGGUGUGUAUAAUACUGACGUUAAUGAGAGAGGGAAGGGGUUUUAAGGUGUGGUCUUUACUCCCAAAUUUCACUUAAAUAUAACUUCCAAAUGAAGAGAGACAAUGAUACAUAAAGUAAUCUGAGGGGAAAAUGCAACUUUAUGGACAACGGUGGAUGGUUCUUAAAAUAACCUUUGUGUUAGGGGGCUCUUAAAAGAGCAGUUUCACUCCACGGCAUACUGCCAUGGGACUUCACCUGCUGGCGAUGAGAAGUAGGUGGUUAGCUUCUCCCUCACCUGGAGUACCUGUCUGGGGGCGUUGUUGGCACCUGCCCUGGUGACAUCAGGUAGGUGACCAUUUGGCUUGCCCAUCUCCAUCCGGAGCGGCUCCUGGAAUGACCUCCGCAGGUAGUUAUAGAGAACACAUGUGGCCUUCAUGCAGGCAUCGACAUUUGAGGGGCUGAGACCAAACACUCUCCAAUACAUUCUCCACCGGGCUGCCAGAAUCCCAAAGGCGCAUUCAACAACUAACCUUGCCCUGGACAAUCGUUUGUUAAAGAUCCUUACAGGCUUUGGCAAUGGCAGCUGGCGUCCAGCGUAGGGACUCAUGAGGUUGGGUCUUAAAGGGAAGGCCUCGUCGCCGACAAAGAUGUGGGGAACAGGUCCCAGGUCUUCAGCUCCAGGGAGUGAUGCAGGUAGUGGAAUCUCCAGGGUGCCAUCCUGAAGUGCCUGGCCGAAGGCAGAGUCCCGGAGGGUCCCGCCAUUACUUCCCUUGCCGUAAGCACCAACAUCGACAACAUGGAAACAGUAGAUGUACUCUUGGCUGUAGUAGAUGCCAACUGAAUAUGUACCCUUGUAGUUGUAGAAUUGCGAACCCGAGCACGGUGGAGCCUGGAUUACUACAUGUUUCCCGUCAAUGGAGCCAACAGUUGGGGAAAUUCCACCUCUCCAGGAACUCUGCAGCGAUGGCCCUCCAGGCUUCCUCCUUGGAGACAGGCAUGUAUUCACCAACCAGACAGUCCCAAAUGGUUUGUGGCACAGAGAGGACAAUGCCUGCCACCGUGGAGCGUCCAACUUAGAAGCUGAAUCCAAUGGUCCUGUAGGAUUCCCCUGUCGCCAAGAAUCUAAAAUAUAAUUCAAAAUAAUUAUCAAUAUUGCGUGUAAAUUGAAUUCCACCCACAUAUUAUAUCUACUCAUAUAUCUACCUCAUUACAGUUUAUUAUGCUCUACUAAUUAUAUUGUAAUACUCAUCAACCAUCAUUAACAAUGCCUUGAAACACUACAA